rnacentral:tRNA from 1 species
AGUUUAUAAGCUAUAAGCAAUAUAUCUUGAAAAUAUAAGAAAGAAAAAUAUUCUAUAAACUU